rnacentral:rRNA from 1 species
GACGAACGCUGGCGGCGUGCUUAACACAUGCAAGUCGAGCGGUGAACCACUUCGGUGGGGAUCAGCGGCGAACGGGUGAGUAACACGUGGGCAACCUGCCCCUAGCACUGGGAUAACCCCGGGAAACCGGGGCUAAUACCGGAUAUGACUCUGAGCGGCAUCUCUCAGAGUAGGAAAGAUUUAUCGGCUAGGGAUGGGCCCGCGGCCUAUCAGCUUGUUGGUGGGGUAAUGGCCACCAAGGCGACGACGGGUAGCCGGCCUGAGAGGGCGACCGGCCACACUGGGACUGAGACACGGCCCAGACUCCUACGGGAGGCAGCAGUGGGGAUAUUGCGCAAUGGGCGAAAGCCUGACGCAGCGACGCCGCGUGAGGGACGAAGGCCUUC